rnacentral:rRNA from 1 species
AGCGAACGCUGGCGGCAGGCUUAACACAUGCAAGUCGAACGGUCCUUCGGGAUAGUGGCGGACGGGUGAGUAACACGUGGGAACGUACCCUUAGGUUCGGAACAACACAGGGAAACUUGUGCUAAUACCGGAUAAGCCCUUCGGGGGAAAGAUUUAUCGCCUUUGGAGCGGCCCGCGUCUGAUUAGCUUGUUGGUGAGGUAAUGGCUCACCAAGGCUACGUUCAGUAGCUGGUCUGAGAGGAUGGCCAGCCACACUGGGACUGAGACACGGCCCAGACUCCUACGGGAGGCAGCAGUGGGGAAGCUUGCGCAAGGGGCGAAAGCCUGACGCGGCCAUGCCGCGUGGAGGAUGAAGGUCUUAGGAUUGUAAAAUCCUUUCACCGGGGACGAUAAUGACGGUACCCGGAGAAGAAGCCCCGGCUAACUUCGUGCCAGCAGCCGCCGUAACAC